rnacentral:rRNA from 1 species
CCUACGGGAGGCUGCAGUAGGGAAUUUUCGGCAAUGGGGGGAACCCUGACCGAGCAACGCCGCGUGAACGAAGAAGUUAUUCGUAAUGUAAAGUUCUUUUAACAGGGAAGCAAGAGAAAUUUGACGGUACCUGAAGAAUAAGCUCCGGCUAACUACGUGCCAGCAGCCGCGGUAAUACGUAGGGAGCGAGCGUUAUCGGGAAUCAUUGGGCGAAAAGGGUGGGUAGAUGGCUUAGUAAGUCUUUUGUAAAAAUGCUGGGCUCAACCCAGUAGGGCAAAAGAAACUGGAAAGCUAGAGUAUGACAGAGGCAAGUGGAACUAGAUGUGUAGCGGUAAAAUGCGUAAAUAUAUGGAAGAACACCGGUGGCGAAGGCGGCUUGCUGGGUCGAUACUGACAUUGAGGCACGAAAGCGUGGGGAGCAAACAGGAUUAGAUACCCUAGUAGUC